AAUUCUCAACCUUAUAGCCUUGUUGUCAUGACUCGGCCUUGGGGCUUGGAUUUGGAGUGUGCGGGCUUGCAAAAGCCGGCUCCUCUUGAAAUGCAUUAGCUGGAACUCUCUUCGUGGACCGGCCAUCGGUGUGAUAAUUAUCUACGCUGUUGGUAUUCAACGGUUUUCCGCGCUUCGUUAUAAGAGUUGGUUCUGCUUCCAAUCGUCCUUUACUGCGACAAUGAUCCCUUUGCUGGGAUUGACC
rnacentral:misc_RNA from 1 species